UAUUGAACAACGCAUUUAUUCACAUUCUCGAAAAUGACAAUUUUGAUUCGAGGCGCGCGAUUUCCGCAGUCGCCCAGGACGCAUCGAAAAUUUUCGGACAGAAUGGAGACGAGAUAUCAGCGGACAAUCUUGGGUGCGGCGCUUCCCUUGUCCCUCCGGGGGCCAAGGUGGGAAGGGUCGCAAUGAUUGAACGUACAG
rnacentral:snRNA from 1 species